AGAUUGAACGCUGGCGGCAUGCCUUACACAUGCAAGUCGAACGGCAGCACGGGAGCAAUCCUGGUGGCGAGUGGCGAACGGGUGAGUAAUACAUCGGAACGUGCCCAGUUGUGGGGGAUAGCCCGGCGAAAGCCGGAUUAAUACCGCAUACGACCUACGGGUGAAAGCGGGGGAUCGCAAGACCUCGCGCUAUUGGAGCGGCCGAUGUCGGAUUAGCUUGUUGGUAGGGUAAAAGCCUACCAAGGCUACGAUCCGUAGCUGGUCUGAGAGGACGACCAGCCACACUGGGACUGAGACACGGCCCAGACUCCUACGGGAGGCAGCAGUGGGGAAUUUUGGACAAUGGGCGAAAGCCUGAUCCAGCCAUGCCGCGUGCGGGAAGAAGGCCUCGGGUUGUAAACCGCUUUGUCAGGAGAAACGGUUCGAGCUAAUAUCUCGGACUAAUGACGGUACCUGAAGAAUAAGACACCGGACUAACUACGUGCCAGCAGCCGCGGUAAUCUA
rnacentral:rRNA from 1 species